ACGCUGCGAACUGCGAUACGUAAUGCGAAUUGCAGGAUUCAGUGAGUCAUCGAAAUUUUGAACGCAUAUUGCACUUCCGGGUUAGUCCUGGAAGUAUGCCUGUAUCAGUGUCC
rnacentral:rRNA from 1 species